ACGUAGGUGGCAAGCGUUGUCCGGAAUUAUUGGGCGUAAAGCGCGCGCAGGCGGUCCUUUAAGUCUGAUGUGAAAGCCCACGGCUCAACCGUGGAGGGUCAUUGGAAACUGGGGGACUUGAGUGCAGAAGAGGAAAGUGGAAUUCCACGUGUAGGGGUAAAAUCCGUAGAGAUGUGAAGGAACACCGGAGGCGAAGGCGCCUGCCUGGACGACUAUUGACGCUGAGGCGCGAAAGCGUGGGGAGCAAACAGGA
rnacentral:rRNA from 1 species